AGAGUUUGAUCAUGGCUCAGAACGAACGCUGGCGGCAGGCUUAACACAUGCAAGUCGAGCGCCCAGCAAUGGGAGCGGCGGACGGGUGAAUAACGCGUGGGAAUAUGCCCUUUGGUACGGAACAACUCAGGGAAACUUGAGCUAAUACCGUAUGUGCCAGAAAUGGGAAAGAUUUAUCGCCAAAGGAUUAGCCCGCGUCCGAUUAGCUUGUUGGUGAGGUAAUGGCUCACCAAGGCACCGAUCGGUAGCUGGUCUGAGAGGACGACCAGCCACACUGGGACUGAGACACGGCCCAGACUCCUACGGGAGGCAGCAGUGGGGAAUCUUGGACAAUGGGGGAAACCCUGAUCCAGCCAUGCCGCGUGAGUGAUGAAGGCCUUCGGGUUGUAAAACUCUUUCGACGGGGACGAUAAUGACGGUACCCGUAGAAGAAGCUCCGGCUAACUUCGUGCCAGCAGCCGCGGUAAUACGAAGGGGGCUAGCGUUGUUCGGAAUUACUGGGCGUAAAGCGCGCGCAGGCGGCCUUUCAAGUCAGGGGUGAAAGCCCAGAGCUCAACUCUGGAACUGCCCUUGAAACUGUUAGGCUUGAGUACGGGAGAGGUGAGUGGAAUUCCCAGUGUAGAGGUGAAAUUCGUAGAUAUUGGGGAAGAACACCGGUGGCGAAGGCGGCUCACUGGCCCGUAACUGACGCUCAGGCGCGACAGCGUGGGGAUCAAACAGGAUUAGAUACCCUGGUAGUCCACGCCGUAAACGAUGAACGCUAGCCGUUGGCAAGCUUGCUUGUCAGUGGCGCAGCUAACGCAUUAAGCGUUCCGCCUGGGGAGUACGGCCGCA
rnacentral:rRNA from 1 species